rnacentral:tRNA from 1 species
CUCGGCGUGGUCGAGGUGCACGGCGACGCGUGCCUCGGCCGCACGGGCCGCGGCCAACGCGGCGCCGCCGAUCGGGGCCAGUGCCCCGUGG